UACGUAGGGUGCGAGCGUUGUCCGGAAUUACUGGGCGUAAAGCGCACGUAGGCGGACAUUUAAGUCAGGGGUGAAAUCCCAGAGCUCAACUCUGGAACUGCCUUUGAUACUGGGUGUCUUGAGUAUGGAAGAGGUGAGUGGAAUUCCGAGUGUAGAGGUGAAAUUCGUAGAUAUUCGGAGGAACACCAGUGGCGAAGGCGGCUCACUGGCCCGGUACUGACGCUGAGGCACGAAAGCGUGGGGAGCAAACAGG
rnacentral:rRNA from 1 species